UACGGAGGGGACUAGCGUUGUUCGGAAUUACUGGGCGUAAAGCGCACGUAGGCGGAUUUGUAAGUCAGGGGUGAAAUCCCGGGGCUCAACCUCGGAACUGCCUUUGAUACUGCGAAUCUCGAGUCCGGAAGAGGUGAGUGGAAUUCCUAGUGUAGAGGUGAAAUUCGUAGAUAUUAGGAAGAACACCAGUGGCGAAGGCGGCUCACUGGUCCGGUACUGACGCUGAGGUGCGAAAGCGUGGGGAGCAAACA
rnacentral:rRNA from 1 species